UACAGAGGGGGCAAGCGUUGUUCGGAAUUACUGGGCGUAAAGGGCGCGUAGGCGGCCCGCUAAGUCGAACGUGAAAUCCCCGGGCUCAACCCGGGAACUGCGUCCGAUACUGGUGGGCUUGAAUCCGGGAGAGGGAUGCGGAAUUCCAGGUGUAGCGGUGAAAUGCGCAGAUAUCAGGAGGAACACCGGUGGCGAAGGCGGGUCUCUGGGCAAUAACUGACGCUGAGGAGCGAAAGCGUGGGGAGCGAACAGG
rnacentral:rRNA from 1 species